GAUGAACGCUGGCGGCGUGCCUAAUACAUGCAAGUCGAGCGAACAGACGAGGAGCUUGCUCCUCUGACGUUAGCGGCGGACGGGUGAGUAACACGUGGAUAACCUACCUAUAAGACUGGGAUAACUUCGGGAAACCGGAGCUAAUACCGGAUAAUAUAUUGAACCGCAUGGUUCAAUAGUGAAAGACGGUUUUGCUGUCACUUAUAGAUGGAUCCGCGCCGCAUUAGCUAGUUGGUAAGGUAACGGCUUACCAAGGCAACGAUGCGUAGCCGACCUGAGAGGGUGAUCGGCCACACUGGAACUGAGACACGGUCCAGACUCCUACGGGAGGCAGCAGUAGGGAAUCUUCCGCAAAGGGCGAAAGCCUGACGGUGCAACGCCGCGUGAGUGAUGAAGGUCUUCGGAUCGUAAAACUCUGUUAUUAGGGAAGAACAAAUGUGUAAGUAACUAUGCACGUCUUGACGGUACCUAAUCAGAAAGCCACGGCUAACUACGUG
rnacentral:rRNA from 1 species